UUGAGUUUUUCCUAACGCGAGGGGUCUUGGAGUCUGGGCACCAUAUGUUGAAUUGAAAUUGACUGCUCACCAACACUUAUGAGAGGCAUCAGCUAGCCCAGCCCAGCCCGUAUAAAAUGGUAGCUAGAGCACCACGAAUUAUCAGUGGAUACUGUGAAAGUAAAAUUUGUCAAAAAAGGAUGGAUACAUAAUACACUCAUUCCAUGGAUCUACUACAGCUAUUGCAUACAACAAGGUUUGUCUCUUACCAAUUAUAGAACCCAGACCCCCCCGGCAAAUAUGGUGGAUCGAAAUCCCCAAAUCAAAUACAAUAUUUACUAUCCCCAAAUCAAGAUGCUUUUUAAGUAGGCCUCAACAUCACUCCAAUUUUUCUUUAAUGCGUGGGUUCCAGUCUAAAUAUAUGAGUUGUUUAAUUGGUGGUUUUGCCUUCAAUUUUGUCAAAUCAUCUCACCAUGCAAAGUUUAGGCGGGUUUCAGUCGAGGUGAGUUUGUGGGUGAUGAUGCAUUGCGGUAUACUUUGAUUAGGUUGAGUUAUUUUUUGUCAAAUCAAAUACUCAAACCAAUCAAUUUUAUUUGGAUUCAA